UACAGAGGGUGCGAGCGUUAAUCGGAAUUACUGGGCGUAAAGCGUGCGUAGACGGUUUCGUAAGUCGGGUGUGAAAUCCCCGGGCUCAACCUGGGAAUUGCAUUCGAAACUGCGAGGCUAGGGUACGGAAGAGGGAAGCGGAAUUUCUGGUGUAGCGGUGAAAUGCGUAGAUAUCAGAAGGAACACCAGUGGCGAAAGCGGCUUCCUGGUCCAGUACCGACGUUCAGGCACGAAAGCGUGGGGAGCAAACAGG
rnacentral:rRNA from 1 species